rnacentral:rRNA from 1 species
CCUACGGGUGGCAGCAGUAGGGAAUCUUCGGCAAUGGACGGAAGUCUGACCGAGCAACGCCGCGUGAGUGAAGAAGGUUUUCGGAUCGUAAAGCUCUGUUGUAAGAGAAGAACGAGUGUGAGAGUGGAAAGUUCACACUGUGACGGUAUCUUACCAGAAAGGGAUGGCUAACUACGUGCCAGCAGCCGCGGUAAUACGUAGGUCCCGAGCGUUGUCCGGAUUUAUUGGGCGUAAAGCGAGCGCAGGCGGUUAGAUAAGUCUGAAGUUAAAGGCUGUGGCUUAACCAUAGUACGCUUUGGAAACUGUUUAACUUGAGUGCAAGAGGGGAGAGUGGAAUUCCAUGUGUAGCGGUGAAAUGCGUAGAUAUAUGGAGGAACACCGGUGGCGAAAGCGGCUCUCUGGUCUGUAACUGACGCUGAGGCUCGAAAGCGUGGGGAGCAAACAGGAUUAGAUACCCUGGUAGUC